rnacentral:rRNA from 1 species
UACGAAGGUCCCGAGCGUUGUUCGGAAUCACUGGGCGUAAAGGGAGCGUAGGCGGUGCGGUAAGUCAGAUGUGAAAUCCCGGGGCUCAACCCCGGAACUGCAUCCGAUACUGCCGUGCUAGAGUGAUGGAGAGGUAGCUGGAAUUCUUGGUGUAGCAGUGAAAUGCGUGGAUAUCAAGAGGAACACUCGUGGCGAAAGCGAGCUACUGGACAUUUACUGACGCUGAGGCUCGAAGGCUAGGGGAGCGAAAGGG